rnacentral:rRNA from 1 species
UGUGUAGGUGGCGCCGUAAGUCGGGUGUGAAAUCUCGGAGCUUAACUUCGAAACUGCACUCGAUACUGCGGUGCUUGAGGACUGGGAGAGGAGACUGGAAUUUACGGUGUAGCAGUGAAAUGCGUAGAUAUCGUAAGGAAGACCAGUGGCGAAGGCGGGUCUCUGGACAGUUCCUGACACUGAGACACGAAGGCCAGGGAGCAAACG